rnacentral:lncRNA from 1 species
UAUGUUAGAUGCCCUUAGUGACUUUUGACUAUGUCAUUAAGUGAAAGAAUUGAUGUUGCUACUUUGGCAUGUUUCCUACGGCUAUGAGUGAUGCGGCUUUACGGGGCAUUGCUGGGAAAGCAAUCAGUUCUCAACUCAGUGGCAUGAGGGCUCAAGGAAGACUAGUUGAAUUACAUUAAAACACUUUGACUCAUUGUCGACAGGUUGUAUCGCUUCAGUAUAGCGAAACAAUCAUGAGUAUAGUGUCAUAAUGUGCGCAACAGAGGUUAGCAUGGCUCUUCGAGGGAUUAGAGAUGCUGAACCUGAUGUAAUUCAAUGGUCUAGGGUAUCACGAGUCUAAUAUUUUUUCUUUUUGAGGGUUGAUGUCUCUAUGCUGGCCGGAUGCGGUUUCUAGUAUAGAGCUCCCGAAAUGCAGGUUGACUCGGCGGUCGCACUGUUCAUUUUUCUGUAUGAAUAGAAUUAAUAGUGGUGUGAUGUUGAGGAAGUGGUUACGAUGGCAUCGAUCCCGUCAUGUGCGAGUGGGAGAUGUUGGCAUUCGGUUAAAUCGAAUCGGGUACGCCCAUAAGCGGGUUCGAUCCGACGGAUGUUUUGUUAUCUAAUUGGAUUAGAAUUAAUCUCGCUUUCAAAUUGGAAAGUUAGUUAGAGAUAAAUCCUAGUCAUAUUAGGAUAACAAUUAAUAACCGAUUUGGCUUUAUCUCCAACGCCAUUAGGAUUUUGGAAUUCCUUAUAAAUAUGCGGGCGAUCCCACAUAACGAAACAUACACGGAAAGAACGAAAAAAGAGAGAAUAAGAAAAUAAUAGAGAGAAACCACUUCCUCCAUUAACCUAUUAUUCUAGAGGGACUUGAACGGUGGAUUUGCGAUCGUGCUCGUUUGUAGUUCGAUCCACCGCGAGUUCGUGGAGCGUGAGAAGACAUUCAAGGACGAUCCGAGGACACGUGAACCAAUCUAAACGAUCCGGGCUCAUCGCGUUGUUGCGCGAAUCGCUUCCGCAAAAGGUACGAACCAAUACUUCCGUUGCGUUCUACAAAAACUUUCAAAUACGUGCAAGGUGGUUUCGGUUGCUCCCAAAUCCAUGCAAGGUAAUAUCGCUCUUUACAUGUUCGGUAUUUAUUCGAUAAAUGUCAAUUUAGAGGCAUUUGGCCAGUUAGGAAUAUAUUAGAUAUUUUAAAAGUUUUGAAGGGUAUAUUUGAUACUAUUUCUUUUUUAUAUAUGAUCAAGAAGAUAGACAAAGGACGUCGGAGUUAG